UCUGCGCUUAUUUUAGAUGGGAAUAGGUACCCUGGCCGUUCGCAUCAGUGGCCAGACAAGAAUGACCAAUUGCAUUAAAUUGCGAUGGUCACGUCAUAAUUAGAGAGAAGGGGCGCUUCCAUCGACUUCCGCUAUUUGUCUCGAGCUUUCAAGGUUGGCGGCAGGAUUUCCUUCUCGAGCCAAGUUCACCGGUGGCUUUCUUGCCAUUAUGACUCUAACGAAGAGAUCAAGCUCCGUCAGGAUAUGCUGUGAAUUUUCACUCACGCUGCAGAUUGAGCACGCGCCGGUCAGGUUACGAUAGCGCUCCCGAAUGGGAGACUCAGUCGGAGCACAGAGAAACGUCGGCUAUACAUCCGCCAGUCGCCCCCUCUGCCCACGUACUGCUGCAACAACAGCCAGCCACAAAAUGUGAGCAACGCCUCAGCAUUCAUUCUUAUUUUCGUGCCAAGGGAACAACCGCUCGACGAGGAAGACGCCGCUUCGGAAACGCCCGGUAGAUGGCGGUCACAAGAAAGAAAGAGGGUUUCCUGACGCCGAAGACGCGACUCGGUUGGUUCGACGAAGGCCGCCAAAAUGGUUUAGCGUUGUUCCACGUGUUCUCAAUAGGUGGCGCGUUGAGUCGCGCCACCGUUGCUAGAUGGAGGAGUUCGCAAAGCCCACUUCGCGAAGCAAUCUUCGAAAUCGUUGUUUGGUUGCUAAAAGUACUCAACGUAUUAAAGAGGUAUACUGUG